rnacentral:rRNA from 1 species
UACAGAGGGGGCAAGCGUUGUUCGGAAUUACUGGGCGUAAAGGGCGCGUAGGCGGCCUUCUAAGUCGAACGUGAAAUCCCCAGGCUCAACCUGGGAACUGCAUCCGAUACUGGAUGGCUUGAAUUCGGGAGAGGGAUGCAGAAUUCCAGGUGUAGCGGUGAAAUGCGUAGAUAUCUGGAGGAAUACCGGUGGCGAAGGCGGCAUCCUGGACCGACAUUGACGCUGAGGAGCGAAAGCCAGGGGAGCAAACGGG